CAACAGUCAUACUGGUGGCAGGAGCAC
rnacentral:piRNA from 1 species